AGUCCUUCGCCGUCCCUCGCCGUCCUUCGCCAUCGCACGCCACCGCACCCCAUCUCUCGAAAUCUGCAGACAUCUUGAUUUUUCCCACGCUGUCUGUCAGGUCUCCGCCGCCACUCGACGCCAGGGCGCCGGGCCUUGUGGGCUGUGCUGCACCUCGGACGGCUUCGCACCAGCCAGCGCCCUCUCUCUCCUGCAGCACUCUGAUCUGCACCCCCUGAGGGGCUUCCACUGUCCGCGGGGUGAGAAUGCCCCUGGGAGUGUCACAUGACUGCCGCCCCAUGUGUGUGAGAGGCGUCCUCUGGGAGAGCAUGGAUCCUGAGGUCCCAGGAACAUCCCGAGAGCCAAGUUCCCAGAUGCCAGCCAAGGGCCAUCUGACCUGUUUUGAAUCUCAAUUUCCUGAUACAGAAAACAAAGGAUUGUCAGCUGACCUCUGUCCUGUGUGCCCAGUGGCCCCAGGUGACGUGUCUUCAAGAAGAGGCUGAGCUGCGGUGCUUGUAAGGGUCUCAUUCUGUCACCCAGGCUGGAGUGCAGUGGUGCAAUGAUGGCUCACUGCAGCCUCGACCUGGGCUCAAGUGAUCCUCCACCUCAGCUUCCUGAGUAGCUGGGACCACAGAGUCAUGUGCUGUUCCUGGGGCUUGGAUGAUGUAGGGGAAGCAAGGUGAAAGUGGUAUCCCGUGGUUCCACGUUCUGUCCUGCUGUGGGGCUGUCCCUCACAUGCUUUCAGUGGCUGUUGCAGAGGAAGAGCCUCCGGAAAUCUGCGUGGGUCUCAGCCUUAGAUCCAAGGACAGUCCAAGGAAGUCCUAAGACCAUGGAGUUGGUGAUCUGGGAUCUGGGUUUGCUGAUAUUUCUCACCGUGAAUCUCUUGGUGGUGUUUGUGGGCACGAGAGGGGCAGAGAAUGGAGAGUGAGGCUACCACAUGAAGCGUCACCAGAGCUGCUCCCUGCUGCCUGCUCAGAGCACCCCGGAUCCACUGUUCAAUCUGCACAAGAUUCGGGGUCCAGACAUGGGAGACUUCAGCUGCCUCAGAGGACCGUGGACAGGGAAGGCCAGCCUCGCAUCCCUCUGUCCAUGCCUGGAAUGACUUUAAUAACCAAGAGUUUUAUUUUUGAAUUUGUAGCUGUCGUUCACUUUUUACCCACCCAUUCAAUAAACCUUACAGAAUUGCUCCA
rnacentral:lncRNA from 1 species